CCUCCGCGAGAGCUGCUGCACGAGGAGUCCGGGGCCGAGCCGCCCCACGCAGCAGCCCCUCCCUGCCCUGCUGGAGCGGGGGAGCGUUGUGAUCCCUGUUUGAGGGAUGGGGAAACUGAGGCCAGGGGCCGCACAGCUGAAGAAGCGGCCCCUGAGUGACAGACUGUUGCCCUCCGCCCCAUUGGCUCGUACAGCGGGGGACUUAAGUCUCCAAGUGCCCUUAUCUGUACCCGCAAGUGAUCGCAGCACAGCACUGCUGACCCAAUUCACAGACACCAAGUCAGAGGUGUGGUUGUGGCUCCUUACGAAGAGCCAUAGUUUGUGAAAGCUCACCCACUUAAUUCUUAAAUCCUUCAGAACUUUUGGGUGAAUACUCUGUGGGCCUGAUGACUUGCAGCUGUCACCAUACCUCAUAAGGAGUAGACAAGAGAGGGAACUGAAGAACCCAUGCUUAGGAAUGCCUGCUGCAGAGAUCCUACCUGAUCAUGCUGGAGCACGCCAGGAUGAGAUGGUUUUCCCUAGGUCAGGCCUGUUUGCUGUGUUCAUUAUGGAUGAUAUCGCGCUGCUGAGGGUGAGCAGGGAAUCAAGUGAAGGUCUUCUCCAUGACUGCAGCUUCCACAAC